rnacentral:tRNA from 1 species
GGAGAGGUGGCCGAGUGGUUUAUGGCGGCGGUCUUGAAAACCGUUGGGCGAAAGCCCCGGGGGUUCGAAUCCCUCCCUCUCCGCCA